AUGCCACCUUCCGUGCACGACACGGAAGGCCUGCCGUUCAUGAAGCAUGGUUGUGUCUUCAGUGCGCACCGCCGGAUGAAUGACAUGCUGGGACACGCUAUCCCUGAUUUAUGCCGCUUCAGCUUGGAUGAGUCUCCAUCGUGUGGAACCGGACUAGAAAGCUGCAACAAUGAUUCCCGUUGCCCACCGCUAUGGAUCGUGCCAUCCAUGAAGAACACCUGGGACUGGAACCUGGAGGAGGACAUUAGUACUAGUAGAAUUGAGAUUGAAUGCACUUUCUUCCACGCCUUCCACUCUUCUUCCUCCUCUCUUCUUCUUCCUCCUCUCUUCCCCAUCAUCGGCCGCACACCAUUUACCGCCGCUCACUGCUCGCCUGCCCACGCCAUCUUCCUUGUACCAUAUAACUGGAAUUACCGAUGCAAGUCGAAGAAGGAUUGGCCGGUGCUGCCGGCUGGCAUCAAGUUCGAUCCCACGGAUCAGGAGCUGAUCGUGCACCUUGAGGCCAAAGUGAGUGCUGACAGCGCAAGAUUUCAGUCUCUCAUCGAUUUGUUCAUACCAACCAUCGACAGCGCGCACGGCAUAUGCUACACCCAACUUGAGAAACUUCCAGCACAAUUCCAGGGCGUUCAAAUGGGGCACAUGGACGCGUCACAAGAUACAGUCGGAGUGCGGCAUGCACGCGAUGUGGCACAAGACCGGCAAUACCUUACCGGUGAUGGUCAACAGCCGGCAGACGGGCAGCAAAAAAGGUUCUGGUGCUGCAAACUGGGUGAGCACCAGUACCACCUCGGGGACCUGGAGCAAGAGAAGGAGCGGGAGCUGGUCCUCUGCAAGAUUUUCUACCAGACGAACACUAGGGCCAGGAGUAAAAAGAUUAUAAGUCGAGCAUGUUUCAACUGGGCUGUAGAUUGCCCAGGGUUGGUUUUGUUUUUAACAGGCCCAGCCCAUGACGACAACGGGGCACAAAGAUCCAGCAGGUAG
rnacentral:rRNA from 1 species